rnacentral:rRNA from 1 species
GUGUCAGCAGCCGCGGUAAUACAGAGGCCUCGAGCGUUAAUCGGAAUCACUGGGCUUAAAGCGUGCGUAGGCGGACGUGCAAGCAUGUUGUGAAAUCCCAUGGCUCAACCAUGGAACUGCUUCGUGAACUGCACGUCUUGAGACAAGUAGGGGCGGUCGGAACGAUAGGUGGAGCGGUGAAAUGCGUAGAUAUCUAUCGGAACGCCGAAGGAGAAGUCAGGCCGCUGGGCUUGUUCUGACGCUGAGGUACGAAAGCGUGGGGAGCAAACGGGAUUAGAUACCCUUGUAGUCC